rnacentral:misc_RNA from 1 species
AUACCCUUUUGAGGAUCCUGAAGAUCCGAAAAACUUCAGGAAAACCAUUGGGAGAAUAAUGAGCGCCCAACACUCCAUACCCGAUUAUGUACGAGUCACACCAGAUUGCAGGAACCUCCUUUCGCGAAUCUUUGUUGCAAAUCCCUCUAAGAGGAUAACUAUUCCUGAGAUAAAGAAACAUCCUUGGUUCUUAAAGAAUCUACCAAAAGAGCUGAUGGAUGUUGAGCACGCGAGAUUCGAAGAAGCUUCAGAGCAACUACAACAAAGUGUUGAAGAAAUCAUGAAGAUGAUACAAGAAGCUAAAGUACCUGGAGUAGUGUCAAAAUCUGAAGGGAAAGAUCCUGCAGGGACAGCAGAACAAGAUGAUUUAGAGGAAGACCUCGAAUCGGAAAUCGACAGCAGCAAUGACUUUGCUGUUUAUGUCUGAGGAUGAAAUUUUAUGAUCAAUUUGAACUUAUAAGAGAAAAAAAUGUUUAAUAUGUUAACUCUUUGUAUUGUUAAAAUUAUGGCUUUGUAUAGAUGAGUUAUGCACAGAGCUGCUAUUUACUGAGUUCUAAAGUGUGCAUUUCAUUUCAUGUAAUGUUUGCAACAAACAGAUUAUGUAACUUUUUAAGUUUUAACCAUUUG